UGCGAAGAGAAUAAAUUGGAUUUUUGCCCCUGUUAUAUUUAGAAUUAUGCGUAAAGUGAUAUUACUCAUGAACCAUACAUAAUACAGACCUAGGGUCUUUUAAUUUGGGAUCCUUGGUUUAUGACCUUGAAAUUGAGGUCAAGGUCAUAGGUUAAUUGGACGUUCUAGAUUUUGACCUUUGCUUGAAAUUCAUAUUUAUAUAUCAUUUAGCCAUAGGAACUGACAUU
rnacentral:lncRNA from 1 species